CACGUAGGGCGCAAGCGUUGUCCGGAAUUAUUGGGCGUAAAGAGCUCGUAGGCGGUCUGUUGCGUCGGCUGUGAAAACCCGGGGCUCAACUCCGGGCCUGCAGCCGAUACGGGCAGACUAGAGUUCGGCAGGGGAGACUGGAAUUCCUGGUGUAGCGGUGAAAUGCGCAGAUAUCAGGAGGAACACCGGUGGCGAAGGCGGGUCUCUGGGCAGUAACUGACGCUGAGGAGCGAAAGCGUGGGGAGCGAACAGG
rnacentral:rRNA from 1 species